CAUAACCUUUAGCUAAACCAGUAUUAAAGGCAACGCCUGCCCAGUGAAUAAUUAAACGGCCGCGGUACCCUAACCGUGCAAAGGUAGCGUAAUCAUUUGUCUAUUAAUUGUAGACCUGUAUGAAAGGCAUAAUGAGGGUUUAACUGUCUCUUUUAGUAAAUCAAUUAAACUGAUCUCCUAGUCCAAAAGCUAGGAUACCAACAUAAGACCAGAAGACCCUGUGAAACUUUAACUAAAAUAUUAAAGCCUAUAAUAACUACUUUAGGUUGGGGCGACCUUGGAAAAUAAAAGAACUUCCAUACACAUAUUAUACAAUAAUAUAUCACCGGCUAACAAGCCUACAACGACCCAGCACAGCUGAUAAUUGAACCAAGCUACUCCAGGGAUAACAGCGCUAUCUUCUUCAAGAGCCCAUAUCAAAAAGAAGGUUUACGACCUCGAUGUUGGAUCAGGACAUCCUAAUGGUGCAACCGCUAUUAAGGGUUCGUUUGUUCAACGAUUAAUAGUCCUACGUGAUCUG
rnacentral:rRNA from 1 species